UACGUAGGUGACCAGCGUUGUCCGGAUUUACUGGGCGUAAAGAGCGCGCAGGCGGUCGUUCAAGUCGAGUGUGAAAGCCCCCGGCUCAACUGGGGAGGGUCACUCGAUACUGAUCGACUUGAAGGCAGGAGAGGGAAGCGGAAUUCCCGGUGUAGUGGUGAAAUGCGUAGAUAUCGGGAGGAACACCAGUGGCGAAGGCGACUACCUGGCCUGUUCUUGACGCUGAGGCGCGAAAGCUAGGGGAGCAAACGGGG
rnacentral:rRNA from 1 species